GGAGGUAUAGCUCAAGUGGUAGAGUGCAUGCUUAGCAUGCACGAGGUCCCGGAUUCAAUCCGCAGUACCUCCU
rfam:Camelus ferus unplaced genomic scaffold scaffold642, whole genome shotgun sequence.